rnacentral:hammerhead_ribozyme from 1 species
CACUAGUCAAGAGCUGGUGUCGCUCUCCUGAUGAGUCCAAGGCAAGACGAAACCAAAA